AUUGAACGCUGGCGGCAGGCCUAACACAUGCAAGUCGAGCGGGGUUUUCGGACCUAGCGGCGGACGGGUGAGUAAUGCGUAGGAAGCUACCCGAUAGAGGGGGAUACCAGUUGGAAACGACUGUUAAUACCGCAUAAUGUCUACGGACCAAAGUGUGGGACCUUCGGGCCACAUGCUAUCGGAUGCGCCUACGUGGGAUUAGCUAGUUGGUGGGGUAAUGGCUCACCAAGGCGACGAUCCCUAGCUGGUUUGAGAGGAUGAUCAGCCACACUGGAACUGAGGCACGGUCCAGACUCCUACGGGAGGCAGCAGGGGGGAAUAUUGGACAAUGGGCGCAAGCCUGAUCCAGCCAUGCCGCGUGUGUGAAGAAGGCCUUCGGGUUGUAAAGCACUUUCAGUAGGGAGGAAACUCCUGGGUGCGAACAGCGCUCAGGAUUGACGGUACCUGUGGAGGAAGCACCGGCUAACUCCGUGCCAGCCGCCGCUGUAAAAC
rnacentral:rRNA from 1 species